UACGUAGGUGGCAAGCGUUGUCCGGAUUUAUUGGGUUUAAAGGGUGCGUAGGCGGUCUUUUAAGUCAGUGCUGAAAUACUCCAGCUUAACUGGAGGGGUGGCAUUGAUACUGGAAGACUUGAGUGCAGUCGAGGUAGGCGGAAUUGACGGUGUAGCGGUGAAAUGCUUAGAUAUCGGGAGGAACACCAGUGGCGAAGGCGACUACCUGGCCUGUUCUUGACGCUGAGGCGCGAAAGCCAGGGGAGCAAACGGG
rnacentral:rRNA from 1 species